rnacentral:ncRNA from 1 species
UGACAGAACCGAGCCCUACGCUCGCUGUGUAGUGAUGACUGGGGAAGCUGGUGGAAUUCCAGCACGGUCGCGCCACUGUGACCCGCCGCCGCAACCGGCGUAACGGGGAGUCAGACAGCCGCUCAUCACGACGCCCAUGGA